rnacentral:lncRNA from 1 species
AAGAUGAGAAUCCAAAAUCUUCAAUCUUUUUACCUCCUCUUUUUACUUGUAUUCUUCUUCUCCUUCAAUUCUGCAACUUCAGAAUCUCAUCUUCAGUUGAGAAGAGGUGAUUCUUUAUCUGUUGAGGGCGAUCAAGAUUUCCUCACCUCCCCAGAUAACUCAUUUACUUGUGGGUUUCUUAACUUGGAAAAUUCUAAUGCCUACUGGUUUGCAAUUUGGUUCACAAAUUCUAAAGAAAAAACCGUCGUCUGGACCGCAAAUCGGGACAGGCCGGUUAACGGCCACGGCUCGAAAGUACACUUCAGGGGAGACGGAACCGUGAUCUUAACAGACGUUGAUGACACCGUUGUAUGGCAGACAAAUACCACCACAACUGAUGUUGCAAUAGCUAAGGUUCUGAAUUCAGGCAACCUCGUAUUGGAGAAUCCACAAGGUGAUAUUCUCUGGCAAAGUUUUGAUUUUCCUACAGAUACCCUUUUACCUUUACAAACACUUACUAAGAAUAAAAGAUUGACUUCUGCAUUGAGAAAAGGGAGUUAUGGAUCAGGUUACUUUAAUUUGAAUUUUGGAAGUGAUAAUGUUUUGAGAUUGAUAUCGGAUACACCCGAUACAUCAAGCAAUUAUUGGCCUAAUCCUGAUUUUGAUGUUUAUAGAAAUGGAAGAACAAAUUAUAAUAGUAGUAGAGUGGCAUUUUUGGAUGAUAUGGGCAGGUUUCUGUCAAGCGAUCAAUUGCAAAUCAAUGCUUCGGAUAUGGGAUAUGGAAUUAAAAGACGGAUGACAAUAGAUUAUGAUGGGAAUCUUAGGAUUUAUAGCUUGAUCAACUCGACGGGUUUGUGGGAAAUAACGUGGCAAGCUCUUGGACAACCUUGUAGCGUACGAGGUGUGUGUGGAAGAAACGCGGUAUGUGUUUAUGCGCCGGAUCCUCGGUGUGCUUGUCCUCCUGGGUUCGAGGUGAAUGAUCCGAGUGACUGGAAUGCUGGUUGCAAGGCAACGUUCAACGAGACUCUUUUACGUUCUCGACAAGUGAAAUUCGUGGAGAUACCUCAUGUGGAUUUCUAUGGUUUUGAUCUCAAUGCGACUUCUCCAUUGACAUUGGAAUCUUGCAGGGAGAUGUGUGCGAGUGAUUUUCGUUGCCUUGCGUUUAGCUACCGGAUUUUGGGACAAGGAGUCUGCUUUGUAAAAAGUGCACUCCUUAAUGGCUAUGAAACUCCAGAUUUCCCUGCAAGAAUAUACAUUAAAGUUCCAAACAGUUUGCAACCACCGAAUCCUUCAAUUCUGUAUGAAUCCAGAAGAAUGUGUGGAUCUGCAGAAGCAGAACAAAUCAUAGGAUCUCCUUCUAUGUAUGACUUCGUCCCGAAAAGAGUGAAAUGGAUUUAUAUCNNNNNNNNNNNNNNNNNNNNNNNNNNNNNNNNNNNNNNNNNNNNNNNNNNNNNNNNNNNNNNNNNNNNNNNNNNNNNNNNNNNNNNNNNNNNNNNNNNNNNNNNNNUCAGAUGGUAGGGAAGUAGCAGUUAAGAAACUGGGGGACGUUUUUCAAGCCCAAGAUGAGUAUUCAGCAGAAAUCAGCACCAUAGGAAAGAUCAAUCACAUGAAUCUAGUGAGAUUUUGGGGGUUUUGCUCAGAACGAAGGCAUCGACUCUUGGUCUAUGAGUACAUCGAUAACUUGUCACUCGACAAGCAUCUUUUUGACUCUAAUUUCCUCACAUGGAAGCAAAGGUUUGCGGUGGCAAUAGGGACAGCCAAAGGCUUAGCCUACCUCCACCACGAGUGUCUCGAAUGGGUAAUCCAUUGUGAUGUGAAACCCGAAAAUAUACUUCUAGACGGAGAAUUUCAACCCAAGAUUGCAGAUUUCGGGUUAGCAAAACUGUCUCAGAGAGGCGGCCCUGGUUCCGAAUUCACCAGAAUUCGAGGGACUAAAGGCUACAUGGCUCCAGAAUGGGCUCUAAACCAUCCGAUUACAGCUAAAGUCGACGUGUAUGGAUAUGGUGUCGUAAUCUUGGAGAUGGUAAGGGGAAUUAGACUUUCGAAUUGGGAGGUCGCUGACGAAUAUGAGAACGAAGCAGCACUCAAGAGUUUCGUUAGGACAGUGAAGAAAAAAAUUGAGCGUGGAAGCUCCAUUUGGGUGGAGAGCUUUGUUGAUCCAAGAUUGAAAGGGAAGUUUUACAGAAAACAGGCAGAAACAUUGGUUCAAAUAGGCCUUUCAUGUGUACAAGAAGAUAGAAACAAGCGCCCAACAAUGGCUUCUGUGGUACAAACUCUGCUGGAAUGUGAAGAUGAUACAGAACAGAUUUCAGACAACUUGUAAUUGCAUCAUUUGAGCUCUAAGUUUCUUUUUUUCAUCUUCAUCAUUUUUUUUUAAAAAUUGUAGUUAGAACUUUCUCGUAAUGUGAACUCAGAACUGGACUCAAGUUUUUCCUGCCGCUUAGUUGAAUAGGUUAUUAAAUUUUGCUGAGGAAUGAACACACAAAUUACAGCAUCAAAGUAAAUAAAUUUCUUUUCUUGUCCAUGUGUAAUUAAGGAGAAAUAAUGUGAACCCAAAAAAGGACUCACGAUCUUCUGCCUUUGGGUUGAACAGAUCUAUCAAAUUCGUGCAGCAGACAAAUAGAAGCUUCGCCAGAAACCGUCAAUGAACAGAUAAAAGAUAAUUAGCAUGAUCAGAUUGCAAAAAUAACCUCCUUUACAUACUAUGGUGUAAUUUUGGUCGGCAGAGCCUUUUCUGAAGAGAAUAUUUUAAUAUAAAGAGACCCCAUUUUCCUAUAUGAAACUGAUGGCAUAGUUUGUCAUCAUACUGAAAUAGAAUCGAAGAUCCAAAUCUCGCUACUCUUUGGACCACUUUUAAGCUUCUGGUUAUUUAAUUGGUUAAACAUUACCCAUCAUAUAAAGGAUUUCUUUUGUAACAAAAAUAUCACUAGGCUUAGAAUGAUCCACAACUUGCUUUGAGUUCUCGAACUUUUCCCGUUUAAAAUUAUAUUUAAUUUUUGUGAAGCAUUGGCAGGAAUAUAUCAACGUAAAGAGAAAUCAAGAAAAUCUGGAAAAGUUAGGUACUAGUUACAAUUUAGUUUAUCGCGCUCAAGAAUGACAUGCCAUUUUAUGACGGAGCCGAGUUGACGUGAUAAUAAUAAGGACAAAAGGCAAGGGUAACAAAGAAGUCAUGAGUCUAUUUCUUGACGUUAAAUAAAUCACUAGUGAUAGAUAAUAUUAUUUUGUUAUUAUUUGAUGCAUUAAAUCAGAUUUUGCCUUGAACACAGAAUUUGUUGGGCUAUUCUUGGUUCAUAUAUCAUUUUGUAUAACAGCGAAUAGUUAAUUCAAGAUUUUUCUUAGUUUACAAGUUGAAUUUUCAAGGUCCUUUGUGUAAUUGUGUAAAAUUUUUGUUAAUCUUUAAACUUGUCUUUUUCAACACAAUUCCAAUACAUACCUGCUAAACUUAGCUAAAUUUUUUAAACUCAUUAAAUUUUAAUUUUAACCACAUAUUAGCCCCCAUUUGGCCCCCCAUUAAAUUCCAUUACAUUUUUCUUUCUUCUAUUUUUAACCAAAUAAUCUUUUCAUAAAAUAAUAUUACAUGUAAAUAAAAAAAAUUUCCUUUUUUUUAACCGCUCAUUUAAAAAAAAAAAUACUAUUCCACUCAUUUUCAUUUUUCGAAAAUGGGGGUCAAACAGGGGCUUAAUAGAGCUUACAACUUUCAUAAAUUUUUCUAUAUACUAGUCUUCGUCUCGUGCAUUGCACUAUUUAUUGUGUUAUUAUUAGUGUGGAAUGUGUAGAAUAUAGAAAAAGUUUUUGAAAUUUUUGAAAAUGUAGACAACUUUGAAGAAUAAUAAAUGGUAUAAAAUAUUAAUUAAAUGUCUUGUUAUUUUUAAAAUAGAACGAUUGCCAAUUAAAGACAUAGCUGAACCCUAUUCAUAUAGCAUACAAUUUACAGUUACAUUCACAUUUACUUUAAUUUAACCAAAUAUAUAUAUAAAAGUAUACGUCAAAUCUGUGCCCCAUUAUUCAAAAGAUUACAAAAUAACUCUGACUCAUGGAGUCACGAGCACACAGUUGCAGUUCAAAAAGUCAAAAAAGCAAUAAAAAAAUAUUCACUGUCUUUCAAUACUUGAUCCCACAGCAUCAAUUAUCAUUGAGACAGAUGCCUCGAAUUUUGGAUAUGGUGGUGUGUUAAAGCAAAUCCCACUAGAAUCAUCUCAAGAACAGUUAGUUAGGUACCAAAGGGGUGUGUGGACCGGCCCUCAAAAGAAUUACUCCACUAUCAAAAAAGAAAUUAUUUCAAUAGUCUUGUGUAUUUCAAAAUUUUAAGACAAUCUUAUCAACAAAAAUUUUAUUUUGAAAACAGAUUGCAAAGUCUCAAAAGAUGUUUUACAAAAAAAAUGUAAAAAAUCAAUUUGCCUUCAAUAUGAAAGUUUCCUAGAUUUUUUGUUGGGAUUUCUUUCUACUGUAGAAUCAAAAUGAUGAAUACUUCACUUAAGAGAUUACCAGAAGAUUCAAAGUCAAAUGGUGGUCUAAAUUCAAAGAAACAAAUUGUUGUCCAAAAACGGUUCAAUCAUGGAUUCAAGAACAAAGAAAUUUGGGUGUUCCGAAAUUCUCAAAAAAAGAACAAGAUGAUCAAGCAGAUUUUCUGACUGAAAAACAAAGGAUUAUUUCAAUGUUACCAAAAUGCAAAGAUCCAAAAGAAUUAUUAGAAAUUUAUUAACAUAUUUCUAAUAUUGGAUCUAAAAAAUCAAGUACUCAAGAAUCUGAUCAAAAAUCUCAAGAAACAGACAAUGGUGAUAACCUAAUUGAUUUAGGUUAUGAUGUCUUUCUUGCUCAAGAAAUAAGGAUCAAAUGACUACAAGAACCCAGUUUUCACGAAGAAUUGAGAAAUUACAGGAUUAAUAAAUCAAGGGAAAUUCUUUUCAAAUGUUGCAUGCCAGCUAAUCAGCUUUUUCUCAAGAGAUUACCAUCUAUUCCAAGAAAAAGAUAACUUUAUUAAACUAGGAAUCUUUCUUUUUAAAGUUAGUCAAAAAAAUGGCUCAAUUAUUCAAAAGUGGGUUUCAUAUUUCAAGAUUCUUCAUUAUGUUGUCUCCCACUCAACUAUUCAAGAUUCUUUCUGGCAAACGAAAGAAAUUUCAAGUCCGGAUUUCAAGUAUAAGAAGACUUCAAGAGUUCAUUCCAAGGAAGAGCAAAUUUGGCAAUAGAAGUUUAUUUUCUCUUGUUAUUUUUGUUCUCUAAAAAAUUACUCUUUAAUUUUUCAAAUUCUGUAAUCAUUCAAUAAUCAAUAAAAUUUCUCUUUUCAAAUAUUUCUAUUCUUAAUUUGGAUAUUAUUUUUUUUUUAAUUUUCUGAUUUCCUUUCCCCUGGGCUAUUUUGGUAUCAGAGCCAUAAGAGAGUAAUGUGAUAUUAUUGUCAAACAAUGUAGGCACAAUAUAUUUAGGAAAACAUUGUUCAAACCUGGACGUCUGCUGUUAAGCGUUGGUCAGCCCGUAUUGCCGGUGUAGGCGUUGAAGGGUGGUCCCGUUGUAGGCUUGGUGAGAACCUAUUUAUUUCUAUUUUUGUCUACAUGGUAGUUUCACGUGCAAAAUAUACCAAAAAAGCAAUUAUGGAUCGAAAUGCAUAGCAAAAACUUCAGCGGCUAGUUUCUUCCUCCAACUGUCGAUCAUAGUAUCGGACAUAAGUUUCACGUCUAAUCCCAUCGAUAAAAACUCUAUGAACUUGAUAACGUAUAUCCCACAAUCUCCCCUGUGAAUAUAUAUUUGUCAUAAUAAAUAUAUGCACUCUCAAAAUAAGUGAAAAUCUAAAAAUUUUUAAAGAUAUAUUAUUUACGCAUUGUUUUGUUGUGGAACGUCUGUAUGUCGACGCUAUAGAAACUGCUUGUGUGGGUAGUUUUCCCCGAAUAACAAUCUUUCCUUCAUCAUUCUAGGAAUCACCUUCACAAUUGGAUGCAUGAUUUUUUACAAUUUUUCAAAACGAGUCAAACUCUUCAUGCUGUCAUAUAAUGCUGUUAUAUACAUAUAUAGUUCGUUCGGCAAAGUCCACUUUAAGUGCAAUCCAGUGUUUCAUUUCCACAUUGCAGGGAAUAUAUAACGAUGUACAAGAAUCCCAUCGCUUGCUCCAUUCUGGAUUUUUACCAUAUAUAUAUAUCUUGUCAUAUUUUUCAUCCAUUUAAAGUUUUCUACUGGAUUUUUUUCUUUCUUAUGCAGCUCAAAAUCUUCAAACCUCUUGGUGCACAUGUUAGUAAAAGCACAAUCCAAAAUUGCACAAUCUUGUGGGAACACAGUAGGAUAUGUAUGUAUUCGUGCCCUCAUCAACAACAACGCUAUGUCAAUGUACUACAGAUGUAUAAAGCCGUUUAAGAAUGAAAAGAAGUAUGAGAAAAAUAUAGAAUGCUAAAGUACUUACAUCACUAUCGAGCCAUCCAAAUUGCUUCUGAAUUUCAAGAAAGAAACUUUUUGGCUUCGUGAACAUCAUCAUGUCCACAUGUUCACUGCAUAAAACAAAUAACAUAAGAGCAUAUAUUACAACUUCACAAAAAUAAUUAAUGUAAGAAUAGUUACCUGUCAGGUGCAUUAACCAACCAAUUCUGUAAGUCAUCUGCCUUAGCCGGAUCUAGCUCUCGAAAUGGGUCAAAUGCUUUUACAUUGUGAAGCUUCCUCCUCUUCUCCGGAUUUGUGAACGAAGAUUCAAGAACAAGUGACCUUUUCUUGAUUCUCAUCCCGCGCCCAAUCUGACUUGACUUAUCAGACUCAUCUUCCACCACUAUAGGGAUGGACUCCAUUACAUCACCAUGUGCUAUAGAAUCCAUCGGUACACAGGUAUCUCUCUCUUCCACAUGAGUUUCAUCAUCAUUCGGCAAAUCUGUUGCUUGCCUUUGCUCAUUUUCCACUUCAAUGGGAUUUGGACAGUUAUUCAUAUCAUCUGCUUGUUUUUGUUCAUUGCCAUCUACGGGCAACGUUGCUUCUUUUACAAUAACUGGUUCAUUCGCCAACACAUAAUCUUCCACUUCUCUCUUCUCAUUGUCAUCUUGAUUCUCAUCAUUUUGAACUUCUACAUGUACAAGUGGAUCCUCAUUUACAUCACAUGCUUCUCCAGUAUUCAUAAAUCCACUACGAAGAGGAGAGUGAUAUGUGUAAGGUGUUGUUGACGGGUUAGAAUUCUUCAUCCACUCCACAACAGAUGAUAUAUUCUCAUCAAUUUGUCUACAAAAGGAUGUGACACAAUCAAACCUUUGGUCUAUGUAAGAUCGCAUCUCAUCUAUCCGCCCUUCAUUUUUCCUCUCUAAAAUCUCUACCAUCUGUAGUAAUUGCAUUCUCAAUUCCUGAGCAAACUCAUCUCUAGAUGGAUACAGAGAUGGAUAUGAUGUAGAUGGUCCUGGAUGAAAUGUAUGAGCAUCUGUAGAAGUAGGUGGCCUAUGAAAAGAAGAUGGAUCCCGAGGAGAUGUAGAGGCAUUAGGAGAGUGACAAGUUUACUGAGGAAGAUCAACACGAAUGGACGAAUUUGCUACAUUCUCCUUAUCCACAAAGAUAUCAACUGUCGAAUCCUCUACUUCAUCCUCGAAUCAAUGAAUCUCUGUCCAAUAUGCUUUGGAAGCCUCUUCCGACGUAGGCUUCAGUGUGAAAUGAACAACAAUUUAUAUGAAAAAUGAGAGGCACACUUAGUUGUUAUAAAGUACACUACAUAUUUUGAUGUACAUUUAAAAUUUACUUACAUUUGGUUCGUCCAUACUUGCACCAAUAUCCUUGUAGUUAGGCAUUUCAGAAGAAUUCCAUCGACAUAUUUUGGGGAGGUCAACCUCCUGUAGAUUCUCACCAUAUCUCCGUCCAAUAGAUGGUAUGGCUUCAUAGGCCCAAAUCUGCAUAAGAUGCAAAAUAUUACAAUCUAAACAAAAUGAAUAAUAAAUUAUAAUUUUGAAAACAUUACCUGCAAGGCGAGUGGAAAUCCAUAUAUUGAAUAUGGAUAUUUCUCAUUAUUUAUCAAGUAUCACUUCACCAACAAUUUCCAGUCUCUCAUGAAUACAUCAAUUGUGCGGGCAAAUGCCUUUCUCCCCCAAGGAUAACUAUUAAAAGCAUCUAGGUCAUCAACUAUUGACAAGUGUUCUACAUUUAUGUAUGUGUAGCUUUCUUUGGGCAGUAGUACCGUUUCCAAAAUAUAUACAAGCCCAAUCUUGCACUUGUCUUCCACACGCACUUUGCGACUUUCAAUAGCUUCCUUCAAAUUGUGCACCGUUAUGCCUUCUUUACACCUUUUAAAGUGUUUCUUCACCAGUCUAUCAUUAGUCACAAUAUGGGGCUCCAACGAAGGCUCCUCACUAGCUCUCAACCCCGUUAUCAAUGAGAACUCGUAUAAUGAAAAUCGUGUUGGCUUACCUCCAAUUGAAAACCAGAUCUCAUUUUGUUUUUUGGUUACAAUCAUUCUCAAUACAAGUUGGUGGAUUAGAUGUGCUGAAAAAGGUAUGCGCUUCAUUCGAUAUAGUUGUCCAAAACAAGAUUCCAUCAGCAUUUCUUGAUGAACAUUAUCUAACAUUUCCCGAACAUAGUCAAGUUUUUGAAGGGAAGACUUCUGCGAAGGCCUGCCUUUAAUUCUAUGUUCAGUGGGAAUCACAUAAUCAAAUGAGCAUUCCAUUUCUGUAAUGAAAAACAUAAAACAAUCAUGCUAAGUUAUCAGAAUUACAUAAACGACAGGGUGACAUUUUUAGAAUUGCAUAAACGGCAGGGUGACAUUUUCAGAAUUAUAUAAAUUUGGCACAAGAUAUUAAGGAUCAAUUUAAGAUGAACCCAUUUAUGAACUGGAAUAUAUAUGCCUAUUCUGUGUGGGACUAUAGGACAUACAUUUUCAUAUGCACACCAUAAUUAAAUGAAUGUACACAUGGGACAGAAUUGUUGUGUAAAAAGAACAAUCUAAAUAACCAUUUCAUAAUGAGAAAACCUAAGAAAUUAGAUUCAUAUGCACAUCAAAUCAACAUUAAUUAAAUACCCCAAGAUGACAUUUUCAGAAUGACAUAAACGAUGAGUUGCCAUUUUUAGAAUUGGAUAAACUACAUAAAUGGUAACGUGACAUGUUCAGUAAUGGAUUGUAAUUGGUCUUGUUAGACUUAUUUACUUUUAUUGAUUUGCUUUUAUCCAAAUAGGUCCUCCUCCUGCGUAGGCUUAACAUAAAUGACAAGGUCCUCUUAGACAGAUUUGCUUGUAUCCAACAAUUUGAAACUGCAACCAAAUUGGACUGUAACGAAAAUCAUGUCUUUAAUUCUACUAGGUCAACAAGUAGUGAUCCAACAUUCUACAAGUAAAGCUGACACUAAAAAAAAAAAAAACUAUAUGAAUAAUCUGACAUUAAGUGUUCAAGAAAGAUAGCCUAAUUUAGUUAUGUCUAAUUCAAAUGCAAAUUGAAGUAUGACGAGAGAAAUUAAUAGACGACAAUUCAAAAGAUCAAUUAAUGAAAAUGGCAAGAAAGAAAUUACUAUCCAAAUUCACAAGGAUUAUAAAUUCUACCAUAAUUAUCCCAGUAAAAUAGUCGAUCAUGCAUGUUUUCUGCAAUUUUGAAGUAAUUAAAUGUUAAAGUAAAACAAAGAGUUAUUAGCUAAGACAAACAACCUCAUAUGAACAUAAGCAGUCGUGGGACCAACACAUGCCUUAACGACCUAAGUCACCAUUCCCUUAAUUUAUACCUAAUUAGUGUUAUCUUAACUUGCUAUUACAUAAGUCACUAGUUCUUAACUCGAAGACCUAUGAUAAAGAAUCACUUGCCUAAUAAUACUUUUACAGAACUUACCCUUAACUUGUACAGUUAUAGGCAUUGUUAGCGCACAUAGAAUUCCUAUAGUAGUUCUCUGUUUUGGUCGAAUUGCUCUAAACCUCUAAUUUAACUUGUACAGUUAUAGGCAUCGUUAGCGCAUAUAGAAUUCCUAUAGUAGUUCUCUGUUUUGGUCGAAUUGCUCUAAACCUAUACAUUAUAUGUAGAUCCUCUACAUAUAAUGUUCACUGUUAAAAACUCUUUAAUCCUACUAAGAGUAAAAUUGCAUUUAUGCAUUCAUUUAUAGUUUUAGCUAACCAAAAACCUUGAAAAAUUCAGAGAAUGCAAGGGUGGAAAAGCAUUUAAUCUCCUUUAACAUACAUAUCAGUUAACUUUAAUAAAAUCCAAGAAAACUUAUUUUCGUUAAAUAAUUACUUCUUCAUUUCAUAACUAAUUGAAUGAGGAAAAAAUGAAACUAACCCACAGAAAUGAAUGCAUGCCCAAUUCAACCAAUAGUCUCAUAAAUCCUUUCUACUGUUUUCGUUCAAAAUUAUAUCCAAAUAUUCGUAUACCCAUUUAAACUAUUAGUGUAUACAAAAUGUAAAAAAAGAAAAAAUCAAAGAGCAACAAUACAACGCGAAUGGACCAGAAAGAUGGUUAAGAUACAAUACACUCACUUUCAAGAAAAAGAAUUAAAUGGGAUACAAUAACAAAAUAUUAAUGUGUUGAGAAGCCGAUAUUUUUUUACAAAAUUCAUAGAAAAUCUUAGUGACAAUAGAAAAUUGAUGAAACCAUUAUACCUGAGGAUAGACAACUAAAAAAUUGGUUCCUUCAAUGAGCCGUUCGCGAUACUUGUUCGUGGCAUGUGGUGGAACUGCUCGAGGUGGUGGUAGCUUUUCAAAUGUAAAAAUAUCAGGCUCCUCUACCGUUAUCUGCAAAUGGGGAGGGAAUAUAUAGAGGAAAGAUGGUGAGGUACGAGAGAGAAGAGACAGAUUUGGGGUUAGGGAAUUUAGGGUUCAAAGUGUUUUUACAUUCACAGAGUUUUGGAGAAGGAAAAUGAAAAGGGAAAAAUUUCUUUUGAUGGAAUGAGGGUAAUUCAGGAAGUUUGUUAAUUUUAGUUUAAAAUAUUUAUUUUAAUACUUUUAUUAUGGUCAAAGGCUAAAUUUGCAAAGUGUAUUAGAGGAUAGACUAUUUUACCCAAUUUCCACUUCUCUUUUGAUGUAAUGCUGCUGAACUUCAGAGUUGAAUGUGAAAACUCUUGUUUUAUACAAAUUAUUGAAUGGAUGGUCAUUACAGAUUAGAAAAUGAUAAUAGAAUUGUGUUGCCCUGCAUUUCUGUGACGGGACACCUAGAAUGGUACGGGGUUUCACCUUUUCUUGCAACUAUAUGCUUCUGUUCCCUAAAAUUUGUGACAGAUGUCGUCUAAUCUGUAAGUCGGGUGCAUUAUAGUAAUUUGCUCUAACCUGAGAGAUUUUUUUCUUGGAUCUAUUGGUCAAAGUAGGAAACAAUAUGGAUAAUUAUAUUUAUAACACAAUUUUUAUUUCUUACACCACAUUUUAAUUGUAUACAAGGUUCUUAAUAUUUGCUCAUUAUAGUAUUUAUAUCCUUAAUAGUUUAUCUUCAAACUUUUCAUUAGUUAACGCAUUUUGUAUUUGAUAAUAAUUUUAUGUCAAAAGCAUUCAAUUAACGUAAAAUAACUUAUUUUUUCAUCAUAUCUUUUAAAAAAAUAACUAAAUAAAAACUACGAAAAAAAUAUUUUUUCCCUCAUUUCAAGAUGAAAACAAAAUAUUUUGAUAUAAAUCAUCAAGUACAAUACGUGUUAAUUAAUUGAAGUAACCUUAAUAUUGUUGAUCAUUAUUUGAUUCAAAGCAUCUCUCAUCUUAGUUGAAAAGGUAAAUAACAUUUCAGGAACAAAUCUAGUUAUGCUUCCAUGUUACUUUUGUAUUAUUUUUUCUUUUUACCUUUUUCACAUCCGAUCUCGCAUAAUCUUCUUCAUUGCAUAUGCUAAAAUUUAUAAAUCAUCUAUAAAUGAUUAAAUUUAAUUUUUAACUUCACAUUUCAAUGGACCUACAAGUAUAAUAUCUAUCACUCAUUUCUAUCUAUCCAUAAAUUCUUUUCAAACGGAGGAUAAUUUUUUCUCCCUUUUCAUUUAAAUACAAGCUUGUGUAGUUCUAUUCACAAACCCUACAAGAACGAGCUCUAAAGCUCGUUGGCCCAAAGCAUGGCUUGUUUCGGAUCGGGUUGUGCCAGGCCUCUGCCUCUUAGACUGACACGCACACAAGCCGAUCUCAUUUUUCGAAUUUUCAAUGUGUGUGUGUGUGUAUAUAUAUACACACGUUUGAAAUAUUAAAGAGAACAUCUUUAGAAUAAAAUUCAGAUUGAAUUGCAUUUAUUGGUAUGCCCAACUAUCCAAAUACUUUCAUUACACUUGAUUUAUUUAAAUUUUAUCGUCACAAAAUUGUAUUACGAGUGAUGGUAUGUGUAUAAAGGAGGUUGACAAAACAUCAGUUGGCAAGGUCUAUAUCACUCAUUUCAAAACCAAAUUUUGAAAUCAAAACAAAUUAACGACCUAAAUCUUGCUAACACAUAUUUUGUCGAUAAACUUUGUCUACCUACUUUGUACAAAUAAAUUAAUUGUUAUCAAAUUUAGCCCGUGUUUGAUCCUCAUUAAAUUAAAUUACAUUUUAUUCCAUUUUUCUCUCUUCUAUUUUCAACCACACAAUCUUCCAUAAAAUAAUAUUACACGUAAAUCGAAAGUUUUUCCUUCUUUUUCAACCACUCAUUUUUCUAAAAAAUACUAUUCCUCCCAUUUUCAUUUUCAAGUAACGGGGGUUAAACUGGGGCUUAAGGUUUGGUGGGGUUGGUCAAUAUUUUUAAAUUUGUUCAUAAAUUAAGAAUAUCCCAUAUUAACGUGAUGCAUUGAAACCCCUAGUCGAAUCCAAUAGACCAAUAAUGUUACGUGCUUUAGAUCUAAAUGCACCAAUCAAACUUGGCAACUUGUAUUGUAAAAUAGGAGUUUGGUAGUAAAGGCCCCUAUAAAAGGUCCCACAUUUUAUCCUUUUCUUAGAUAAAUUUCAACAUAUGAUUAAAUGACCAUAAAGAUAUCAAAUAUCUUUUCAAUUUCAUCCUCCCCUCAGACUAGACUCGAAUUUCAAUUUCAACUACAUUUUAUUUAAUAAAAUAAUAUUAUAUGCAAACCAAAAAAUUUUCCUUAUUUUGUAACCACAAAUUAUCCAUCAAUUUAUUAUCCCAAAAUGAAGCUCAAAUAGCUCUAUAUAAGUUCAUAACUUUUUUCUAUUUAGUUAUGGUCGAAAUUCCACUAAUGAUGACACGAUUGAAUCAGGAGAAGGAAAUGAUAUUUUUGAUGCAUACAAGAGAGCUACUCUACGUCCAAGGCCAUAUGGGCCUUGAAUUUCCACAUGGCCGCCUAUCGAUAUCCAGGACCUAUGUAUUCCUAGACAAGCAGAUUUAUUAUAAGAAGAAAGAAAUUUUUCUCUUUUAUACGAUUUAUAAUUUUUUCUAUAACAUUUUUCGUUUUAUUUGGGCAAAUAAUGCUUUGUAACAUGAAAGUCCACUCCUUGCCGUAUGGGAUGUAAACCAAGGUACAAAACCAUCCGUCUUUGACCAUUCUGCUGACAAUUAUUCCAAAUUUUUAAAUGAAGCGCAAAGUUUGAAAUAUUAAAGGCGAACGUCUUCAGAAUCAAUUCCGAUUGAAUUGCAUUUAUUAGAAUGUUCAACUAUCCAAAUAAUAUCAUUACACUUGAUUUAUUUAAAUUUUAUCUUCAAUAAAAUUAUCUUACUUAAGGUUGGGAUUGGUCAUUAUUUUGGAAUUUUGUUUAUAACUUAAACAAUAUCAGAUAUUAAUUUAUUAAAUUAAAACCCCUAGUCGAAUCCAAUGAACCAAUAAUAUUAUGUGCUUUAAAUCCAACUUGACAACUUGUUUUGUAAAUAUAUGAGUUUGGUAGCAUAGGCGGCUAUAAAAGUUCCCACAUUUUAUCCUUUUCUUAGAUAUAAACUGCCAAAUAUUAAUUAUGCUAUUUGAUCCCUUAAUAAUUAAAUGACUAUAAAUAUCACAAACAUCUUUUCAAUUUCAUCCUUCCCUCAAACGAGACUCGAAUAUAUAUACACAUACAUUAAAAAAGUAAGUAGUAUUGGGAAAUUAAUUAAUCUGCCAUUUAGGUCGACAUAUGUAAUAAAUUGUGCAUAAAGACUAUCUUAAAGUUAAGUCCGAAAUUAAAGUGAUUUAAUAAAGAAUUAAGUAAUUGGGCUUAGGGCAUCUAAAUGAAGUGUGGUCCGGGUUAUAUGUAUAGAUACCAGAUUUUUUUAGGAUUGUAUUUCGGGCGAAAUAUAUACUAAAACUAUAUAUAGGGUUAUUAUCCCAAUUCAUAUGCAAUUUCUCAUUCUUUAUGACAUCUCAUCGACACAAGAAUCUAAAGAAAAAGUAUAUUGAAGAGGAAAUCCAAAAUCCGCAAAUGGAUUUCAAGAAUCAAGAAGAAGAAUCCAAGAAUUCAUAACAAGAUUAAAGAUUCGGAGGACAAGAUUCAAAGAUUAUACUCCAAAAUUUAGUGUUCAAGAUACAAAUCAAUUAAUCAAAGGUAUAUUACGCAUUAAUUAUUUAUCUUGGUGAUUCGAUAUGGAGAUAUUGGCAAUUAUGUAAAGUUUAUAAAAUUUAAAUUUCAUAAUUGUUUAACAAAUAGUUCGAGUAGAAAGAUGAUAUGAGAAAAGUUUGUAACUUUUUUUCUAUUUAGUUAUGGUUGAAAUUCCACAAAAGAUGACACGGUUGAAUCGGGAGAAGGAAAUGGGAUUUUUGAUGCAUUAGAUUGUUUUAAAUAUAAUUAAAGAAGAAAAAACUUAAUUUUUUCUCUGUUAUAUGAUUUAUAAUUUUUUUCUAUACUAAUUUUUUUUCCUCCAAAUAAUUCUUUAUAAUAUGAAAGUGUGGACUUUGACCAUUUGGCAUAUGGGACGUAAAUGAACGUACAAAACCAUCAGUUUUUGACCAUUUUGCUGACAUUUAUAUCAAGAAGUGUGCAUUGAUUCUAUGAGUUGAACUUGAUCAAAAUAUCAAAAAUUUUAUGCGAAUUUUGUGCAUUUCAUCCCUAACCUUUGGAGACUCUUUCUAAUCCCUCCCCAACUUGAUUGAUCUUUGCCCAAUUCAUACUUUUAAUGAUUUCCAAUUUAGAUAUUAAAUCACCACGUGGAUUAUCCGCACAUGACAUAAUUUCCCAAGAGCGAAUUAGUCAUAUCAUUUCCACACAAUUGGAGAAUGAAUUUGUAUACCUAACCUAACUCAUCCGUAAUAUUUAAAUAAAUUAGCAUAAUGGUCCGAUCUUUUUAACCUGAUUGAACACUAUUGAUCUUCCAACCUUUGAAACUAAACAUACUAUAAUACAUACUCGUUAUAUACAAUGAUUUUGGUUUUUUGUAUACAAAUAUUUCUUAUACCUCUAGAAGUAAAAUCUCACACUGUAAAUUUAACUUGUUCGAGAUUAAAUUGAUACAAUAAAAAUACCAAACAAAUCACAAUUCACACAAUAUACCAUACAACAAAUCGACAACUAGCGAUUUUAAUUCAAAAGUACGAAGAGAGCGGUGCAAAAGGGUUUUGGGAUUUCUUUUUAUAUAAAAUAAAUCCGUCCUUUGUUUUUAAGAACCACUGAAAUUUUCCCAUCUAGUGACUAUUUUGCCCAUGGAAGAUUAUGUCAUGAGCGAUCCACGUGGAGGUUUAGCAACUCAAUUGACAGAAAUUGUUUGGAAGAAUGAAUAGUGCAAAGGUCCCUAAAGGUUUGGUAAGAGUCUCCAAGGGAUGAAAAUUUUCCAUUUCUAAUCUAUAGAUAAUUAUUGCACCUUUAAAAUACCAUGUUGGGAUUUUUCUCGUUUAAAUUAUUAAUAUAGAGUUUAAUUAUAUUUCUUUUGGGACAAAGGCAUUAUUUUCUUGGUUUACUUUGACCAUUUUGUGAUGUAUGUCAUCAUUGUCUUUAUCAAGAUAGUUUGUCAAGUCAAUUGUCAGCCGGAUAAUUUUGUGCUUCCAGCCAUUGGAUCAACUUGGAUGAUCAAGACCAUGCGGCUUCUCAUUUUUAGGGUUCAGGAUAACGUGUAGCUUAAAGCUCAUUUGGUUUAGAUAAAAAUCAGAAUUUAAGUAAAUUUUAAUAAAAAUUAAUGAAAUGUAUUAUUGAAAAAGUGUGAAUUGUGAUAAAAUUAAUUGUUAUUUUUAACUUAAAUUUUAAUUUAUUUUUGUAGUUGAAUCAAUCAAAGGCAAAUCUUCUUUUUGUGAAACGUUCCGCUAUCUUGUUCAACACCUUUUUCUUCGUGAUUUCUCGUAAGUGAACCAUGGUUCCACACCAUUUUAAAAUAGAGCAAAUUGGUUCUCUGCUUCUUUGUAUAGAUGCACAAUUAUUACACAAUCACAAAAGUAUCGAGAUCUAAAUUAACUUGUCAUGUUACUCACAUAAAAGCAUGUCCAAUUUCAAUUUUUUGGACCUCAAUUCAAAUUAAAAAUAAAUGCUGGAUAUAGAAGAAUCACGUAGUAAUAAUUUAGAGGGGUUAAUAUCAUCAUGAAUUGUUGUGCAAUUAUAAAUGUAUAUUAAAGACAAACUUGCUACUUAAAUUAAGUAUAAAGCCAUUCGUAUAAAAAAAUGACUCAUAGAAUUCCGUCAAACACUCACAAUGUGUGGGCUCCAUGUUGUUAUAGUAAAAUUCCAAAAAAAUCCCCCACCUCCUAUUGUGUGUUGUUUUUGACAUUUCUAUGAAUCACAAUUUUGUUCACACAGCAUUCCCCAUUAAAUUAAGAAUUGAGUUGGGGGUGCCUCCCGGGGCACAGCUCAACUGGUGGAUCAAUCAACAUUGGCGUGCUUUCAGCGGCAGGGUGGAGAGUUCGAUUCCUGGUGGGAACCUGCGGCCAAAUAUUUGGUAUGGAGCAAUCACUGUGGAAGAGGGUCUCUUGUGCGCAGAAGUGUACAGUCAAUGGGGGGAACCUGUGAUUCAGUUGAGGCAUAACCCGCGAUUUACCCCCUCCAAGGUUCUAGGGGCAUGGGUCUUGAAAAUCCAGGAUUUAGUCUGGUGUAAGUUGGGAUACCUGAAUAUAAAAAAUAAAAAAAAGAAUUGAGCUGGGGGUAUAGAACUCGUAGUUCACGGACCUCUUACGGAGGUUUCAGACAUGGUGAGGUCGGAAUUUUUUUUAUCAUUUUUUAUUGCAACGGGCUCCGCAAUGAGAUGGACCUUUUGUGAGGCUUCUAAUUUUCUUAUGUGCUUGUUAAAUUAAAGGCUCCUGAUGAUCACAGGACAAAUCAAAGUCAACUUUUUAUUGCUGGAACAAAUUUUUUAUUAUAUAUAAUGUCAUUUGCUAUAUUUUAUUAUACAUAGUGGCUUUUGUGAAUGCGCUUUGUCCAAUUAUUUGGCCUUAGCAAAAAGUCAUCUGAAAUGUGAACGCACAAUUUUGCUCAGCACUGCGUUUUAGAAUGGCCGCUGCUAUAUCCUCAAGUUGAUUUCAAAUAAUUCUUUUAUUAAGUAUGUAUUUGGUGGGAAUAAAAAUUGAUAAAAGUGUAUAAUUAAAAAAUUGUGAAUUUUAUAAAAUAUUUGAUUACAAUUAAUUGUUGACAAUAUGGACUGAAAGUAAUUUUCACAUAUUGUUCCCUUUGCAAUGAGAAUCUUUCUGACGAAAGCAUUUGAUCUGAUAUCAAUUGCUACCAUUGCAUUGAAUAUGACCAUGUUGUCCGAACUCAGAUGCACCAACACUUAAUUUUUCGAAAGUAGGAGACGGACAAAUUGAAUAUACAUUAACUUUAAUUUUUAAAAAUUUUAUGUUUAUUAUAUAUUUUAUCUUUAAUUUUAUACUUUUUAUUACAGGACAAAUCACAUGUCACAUAGAGCACUCCUUCGAAGAAUUUUAACGUAGUGGAGCAAGACACGGAAGUAAUUAUAAUCAAUUUCCACAGAAUUUAAUAUCGAAUCGAGUUCCAUAAGGAUAUAUAAUGAUCAACAUGCAAGGCUUUGCACUUGGGCAAUAUUAAAACCAAAACAGUUUUCUUUCCAAGAUGAGAACCCAAAAUCUUCAAUCUUUUUACCUCCUCUUUUUACUUGUAUUCUUCUUCUCCUUCAAUUCUGCAACUUCAGAAUCUCAUCUUCAGUUGAGAAGAGGCGAUUCUUUAUCUGUUGAGGGCGAUCAAGAUUUCCUCACCUCCCCAGAUAACUCAUUUACUUGUGGGUUUCUUAACUUGGAAAAUUCUAAUGCCUACUGGUUUGCAAUUUGGUUCACAAAUUCUAAAGAAAAAACCGUCGUCUGGACCGCAAAUCGGGACAGGCCGGUUAACGGCCACGGC